rnacentral:rRNA from 1 species
GGACAACCUACCCUUCGGUCCGGGAUAAUCCUGGGAAACUGGGGAUAAUACCGGAUGGGCCACAUAUGCUGGAAUGCUCUGUGGCCGAAAGCUUUUGCGCCGAAGGAUGGGUCUGCGGCCUAUCAGGGUAGUAGUGGGUGUAACGUACCUACUAGCCUACGACGGGUACGGGUUGUGAGAGCAAGAGCCCGGAGAUGGAUUCUGAGACACGAAUCCAGGCCCUACGGGGUGCAGCAGGCGCGAAAACUUUACAAUGCGGGAAACCGUGAUAAGGGGAUCUCGAGUGCCAGCAUAUAAUGUUGGCUGUCCAGAUGCCUAAAAAGCAUCUGUUAGCAAGGGCCGGGCAAGACCGGUGCCAGCCGCCGCGGUAACACCGGCGGCCCGAGUGGUAACCGCUAUUAUUGGGUCUAAAGGGUCUGUAGCCGGCCAGGUAAGUCCCUUGGGAAAUCUGGCAGCUCAACUGUCAGGCUGCUAGGGGAUACUGUUUGGCUUGGGACCGGGAGAGGUGAGAGGUACCUUGGGGGUAGGGGUGAAAUCUUGUGAUCCUCGGGGGACCACCAGUGGCGAAGGCGUCUCACCAGAACGGGUCCGACGGUAAGGGACGAAAGCUAGGGGCACGAACCGGAUUAGAUACCCGGGUAGCCCUAGCCGUAAACGAUGCUCGCUAGGUGUCAGUCACGGUGCGACCGUGAUUGGUGCCGUAGGGAAGCCGUGAAGCGAGCCACCUGGGAAGUAUGGCCGCAAGGCUGAAACUUAA